rnacentral:rRNA from 1 species
UAGGGAAUAUUGGUAAUGGGCGAAAGCCCGAACCAGCAACGCCGCGUGCGCGAUGAAGGCCUUCGGGUUGUAAAGCGCUUUUUAAGGGGAUGAGGAAGGACAGUCCUCUUAGAAUAAGCCUCGGCUAACUACGUGCCAGCAGCCGAGGUAAAACGUAGGAGGCGAGCGUUAUCCGGAUUUACUGGGCGUAAAGCGUGUGUAGGCGGUGUGAUAAGUUGGAUGUGAAAGCUCCCGGCUCAACUGGGAGAGGUCGUUCAAAACUAUCAGACUUGAGCGUGUUAGAGGGAGGUGGAAUUCCGCGUGUAGGGGUGAAAUGCGUAGAUAUGCGGAGGAACACCAGUGGCGAAAGCGGCCUCCUGGCCCAUUUCUGACGCUCAGACACGAAAGCUAAGGUAGCAAACG